UGCGAGUCGAGAGGGUUCGGCCCUCGGCAGACUGCUCAGUAACACGUGGAUAACCUAACCUUAGGUGGAGAAUAACCUCGGGAAACUGAGAAUAAUACUCCAUAGAUCUAGGAUGCUGGAAUGCAUCUAGGUUGAAAGUUGCGGCGCCUAAGGAUGGGUCUGCGGACUAUCAGGUUGUAGUCAGGGUAAUGACCUGACUAGCCUAUGACGGAUAUGGGUUGUGAGAGCAAUAGCCCAGAGACGAUAUCUGAGACACGAUAUCGGGCCCUACGGGGCGCAGCAGGCGCGAAAUCUUCACAAUGUGCGAGAGCACGAUGAGGGAAUCCCAAGUGCUGGCACGUAAGUGUCAGCUGUUUCCUAGUCUAAAAAACUAGGAGAGUAAGAGCUGGGUAAGACGGGUGCCAGCCGCCGCGGUAAUACCUGCAGCUCAAGUGGUGGCCGCUAUUAUUGGGCCUAAAACGUCCGUAGCCGGUUUAGUAAAUGCUUGGGUAAAUUGUGUAGCUUAACUAUACGAAUACCGAGUAGACUGCUAGACUUGGGACCGGGAGAGGCUAGAGGUACUCCUGGGGUAGAGGUGAAAUUCUGUAAUCCUAGGGGGACCACCAGUGGCGAAGGCGUCUAGCUAGAACGGGUCUGACGGUGAGGGACGAAGCCCUGGGGCGCGAACCGGAUUAGAUACCCGGGUAGUCCAGGGUGUAAACGCUGCUUGCUUGAUGUUAGUUGGGCUCCGAGCCCCA
rnacentral:rRNA from 1 species